UUUUCUUAGGUAAUUGUUUGAUUGCCUCAAUACGUUGUCACGCUGUGUAAGUUGGCAUCAUAGUAGGUAUGACCGGCUUGGUGUUUGGACGAUAUGGAGGUGAUAUGACCCAUGGUAUCGGGGAGAUAGUUACUUGUGUAGAAAAUUUACAUCCCUAGAUGAGCAGGUUACGGCCAUUAGUGUGUUGCCAGAGAACAUGAAUAACACAAACAUGUAGCCACCUAAUGGGGGAUUUAAUCUUAAUUGAGGGGGUCAUAAUAGACACCCAAAUGCUGAUAGUAGGCUUAUUCAGAAGAAGAGAUCCCGGAGGAGGAAGUUGUAUCAC
rnacentral:lncRNA from 1 species